UACGUAGGGGGGCGAGCGUUGUCCGGAUUUAUUGGGCGUAAAGAGCGUGUAGGCGGCCAGGUAGGUCUGCUGUGAAAACUCGAGGCUCAACCUCGAGACGUCGGCGGAAACCAUCUGGCUAGAGUCCGGAAGAGGAGAGUGGAAUUCCUGGUGUAGCGGUGAAAUGCGCAGAUAUCAGGAAGAACACCCGUGGCGAAGGCGGCUCUCUGGGCAGUAACUGACGCUGAGGAGCGAAAGCGUGGGGAGCGAACAGG
rnacentral:rRNA from 1 species